AUACGUAGGUGGCAAGCGUUGUCCGGAAUUAUUGGGCGUAAAGCGCGCGCAGGUGGUUCCUUAAGUCUGAUGUGAAAGCCCCCGGCUCAACCGGGGAGGGUCAUUGGAAACUGGGGAACUUGAGUGCAGAAGAGGAUAGUGGAAUUCCAAGUGUAGCGGUGAAAUGCGUAGAGAUUUGGAGGAACACCAGUGGCGAAGGCGACUGUCUGGUCUGUAACUGACACUGAGGCGCGAAAGCGUGGGGAGCAAACAGGAUUAGAUACCCUGGUAGUCUACGCCGUAAACGAUGAGUGCUAAGUGUUGGGGGGUUUCCGCCCCUCAGUGCUGCAGCUAACGCAUUAAGCACUCCGCCUGGGGAGUACGGUCGUAAGACUGAAACUCAAAUGAAUUGACGGGG
rnacentral:rRNA from 1 species